rnacentral:rRNA from 1 species
AGGACGAACGCUGGCGGCGUGCUUAACACAUGCAAGUCGAACGGUGAAGAGGAGCUUGCUCCUUGGAUCAGUGGCGAACGGGUGAGUAACACGUGAGCAAUCUGCCCUUGACUCUGGGAUAACUGCGGGAAACUGUAGCUAAUACCGGAUAUUACCUUGGAAGGCAUCUUCUGGGGUGGAAAGAAUUUUGGUCAAGGAUGAGCUCGCGGCCUAUCAGCUAGUUGGUGAGGUAAUGGCUCACCAAGGCGACGACGGGUAGCCGGCCUGAGAGGGUGACCGGCCACACUGGGACUGAGACACGGCCCAGACUCCUACGGGAGGCAGCAGUGGGGAAUAUUGCACAAUGGGCGCAAGCCUGAUGCAGCAACGCCGCGUGAGGGACGAAGGCCUUCGGGUUGUAAACCUCUUUUAGUAGGGAAGAAGCGACUGGGUUUUCCUGGGAGUGACGGUACCUGCAGAAAAAGCACCGGCUAACUACGUGCCAGC